AACGGCCGCGGUAUCCUAACCGUGCGAAGGUAGCGUAAUCACUUGUUCUUUAAAUGAGGACUAGUAUGAAUGGCACCACGAGGGUUAAACUGUCUCCUUUUUUUAAUCAGUGAAACUAAUCUCCCCGUGAAGAAGCGGGGAUUCUUUUAUAAGACGAGAAGACCCUAUGGAGCUUUAAAUAAGUUAACACCUGCUACUAAUCNNUUCACUUUCCUGAACCACCACAUUAAGUAUAGCACCUCUGAUUAACAGUUUUCGAUUGGGGUGAUCAUGGAGCAAAAAUCAACCUCCACGACGAAAAGGAACACCUCCUUGAGCCAAAAGCUACAACUUUAAGCACUAAAAAACUAACGCACUUUGACCCAAUUCUUUGAGCAACGAACCAAGUUACCCUAGGGAUAACAGCGCAAUCCACUUUAAGAGCUCCUAUCGACAAGUGGGUUUACGACCUCGAUGUUGGAUCAGGGUAUCCCAGUGGUGCAGCCGCUACUAAAGGUUCGUUUGUUCAACGAUUAAAACCCUACGUGAUCUGAGUUCAGACCGGAGUAAUCCAGGUCAGUUUCUAUCUAUAAAGGGCUUUUUCUAGUACGAAAGGACCGAAAAAGCAUGGCCUAUAACCCAUCAAGCCAUAUAAAUUACUAUUGUUCCCAACUUAAAUAGAAGUAAACCUACCACUUAUCUCGAUAAAAGAGAAGUUAACGUAGCAUAACCUGGCCUUGCAG
rnacentral:rRNA from 1 species